rnacentral:rRNA from 1 species
AUGCCCAGCAAUAUCAUCAAUUCAACAAGCAGUUACUCAAAAUUCCAUCGCCCCAAAUGGCAUAGGAUACCUCGGGCGUCCAACUUCUGGCAUAAGUUUUUGUGCAUUCAAAAAUUUAGGAACCUGAACCACAAGGGCAAAUGGAAGGCACCUUUGAUCGGUAAUCCAGACUACAUGGAUGAUUCUUACACCUAUGCUUUUGAUAGGCUGAUGCACAUUGUCGUUGAGCCAAGGUAG